GUGGGGUAACAGCCUACCAAGGCUAUGACGGGUAGCCGGCGUGAGAGCGCGACCGGCCACAUCGGGACUGAGACACUGCCCGGACACCUACGGGUGGCUGCAGCAACGAAUAUUCCGCAAUGGGCGAAAGCCUGACGGAGCGACGCCGCGUGAAGGAUGAAGUCCUUCGGGAUGUAAACUUCAAUAAUAUGUCAGGAAGCAAGGCAGGUUAAUAUCCUGCUGCGUUGACCAUCAUACGAAAGGGGUGGCUAACUCCGUGCCAGCAGCCGCGGUAAGACGGAGACCCCUAGCGUUGUUCGGAAUUACUGGGCUUAAAGAGCGUGUAGGCGGGACGGUAAGUAUCUUGUGAAAGCCCCGGGCUUAACCCGGGAACUGCUUGGUAUACUGCCGUUCUUGAGGCAGGUAGGGGUUACUGGAACCUUAGGUGGAGCGGUGAAAUGCGUAGAUAUCUAAGGGAACGCCUGUGGCGAAAGCGGGUAACUGGACCUGAUCUGACGCUGAGACGCGAAAGCGUAGGGAGCGAACGGGAUUAGAUACCCCGGUAGUCUACGCCGUAAACGAUGCGCACUAGGUUCGAGAGGCUCUGACGUCAUUCGUGCCGAAACAAAAGCGAUAAGUG
rnacentral:rRNA from 1 species